UGGAACUGAGACACGGUCCAGACUCCUACGGGAGGCAGCAGCAGGGAAUCUUGCGCAAUGGGCGAAAGCCUGACGCAGCGACACCGCGUGGGGGAUGAAGGCCUUCUGGUUGUAAACCCCUUUCAGGAGGGAAGAAAUUGACGGUACCUNCACAAGAAGGACCGGCCAACUACGUGCCAGCAGCCGCGGUAAUACGUAGGGUCCGAGCGUUAUCCGGAAUCAUUGGGCGUAAA
rnacentral:rRNA from 2 species